rnacentral:rRNA from 1 species
UAGUUAUGUUCUUUAAAACCUAAAGAAUUUGGCGGUGUUUUAGUCUAUUUAGAGGAAUUUGCCCCUUGAUCGAUAUUCCCCGUUUUAUCUUACUUGAUUUUGUUAUCAGUUUGUAUACCGCUGUUAUAAGUUUAUUUUAUUAGAAUAAAAAUUUACUUUAUUUAUUAUUUUAAUUUAUUUCAAGUCAAGGUGCAGUUUAUAAUUAAGUGUGAGGUUAAUUACAAUAUUAUUUGAGUAUAAUGAAUUAUUGAUUUAAAAGUUUUUAUGAAGGUGGAUUUAAUAGUAAUUUUAUUUAUAGUAUUAUUUUGAUUUUAGCUCUAAAAUGAGUACACAUCGCCCGUCGCUCUA